rnacentral:rRNA from 1 species
GGGUUGUGAGGUUAAGCGACUAAGCGUACACGGUGGAUGCCCUGGCAGUCAGAGGCGAUGAAGGACGUGCUAAUCUGCGAAAAGCGACGGCGAGGUGAUAUGAACCUUUGACCCGUCGAUGUCCGAAUGGGGAAACCCAGUGUGUUCCGACACACUAUCGUUAACUGAAUACAUAGGUUAACGAGGCGAACCGGGGGAACUGAAACAUCUAAGUACCCCGAGGAAAAGAAAUCAACCGAGAUUCCCCCAGUAGCGGCGAGCGAACGGGGAGCAGCCCGGAGUCUGAAUCAGCUUGUGUGUUAGUGGAACGGUCUGGAAAGUCCGACGGUACAGGGUGAUAGUCCCGUACACGAAAAUGCACUUGCUGUGAACUCGAAGAGUAGGGCGGGACACGUGGUAUCCUGUCUGAAUAUGGGGGGACCAUCCUCCAAGGCUAAAUACUCCUGACUGACCGAUAGUGAACCAGUACCGUGAGGGAAAGGCGAAAAGAACCCCGGCGAGGGGAGUGAAAAAGAACCUGAAACCGUGUACGUACAAGCAGUGGGAGCCUCUUUAUGGGGUGACUGCGUACCUUUUGUAUAAUGGGUCAGCGACUUAUAUUCUGUAGCAAGGUUAACCGUAUAGGGGAGCCGAAGGGAAACCGAGUCUUAACUGGGCGUUAAGUUGCAGGGUAUAGACCCGAAACCCGGUGAUCUAGCCAUGGGCAGGUUGAAGGUUGGGUAACACUAACUGGAGGACCGAACCGACUAAUGUUGAAAAAUUAGCGGAUGACCUGUGGCUGGGGGUGAAAGGCCAAUCAAACCGGGAGAUAGCUGGUUCUCCCCGAAAGCUAUUUAGGUAGCGCCUCGUGAACUCAUCUUCGGGGGUAGAGCACUGUUUCAGCUAGGGGGCCAUCCCGGCUUACCAACCCGAUGCAAACUACGAAUACCGAAGAAUGUUAUCACGGGAGACACACGGCGGGUGCUAACGUCCGUCGUGAAGAGGGAAACAACCCAGACCGCCAGCUAAGGUCCCAAAGUCAUGGUUAAGUGGGAAACGAUGUGGGAAGGCACAGACAGCCAGGAUGUUGGCUUAGAAGCAGCCAUCAUUUAAAGAAAGCGUAAUAGCUCACUGGUCGAGUCGGCCUGCGCGGAAGAUGUAACGGGGCUAAACCAUGCACCGAAGCUGCGGCAGCGACACUAUGUGUUGUUGGGUAGGGGAGCGUUCUGUAAGCCGUUGAAGGUGUGCUGUGAGGCAUGCUGGAGGUAUCAGAAGUGCGAAUGCUGACAUAAGUAACGAUAAAGCGGGUGAAAAGCCCGCUCGCCGGAAGACCAAGGGUUCCUGUCCAACGUUAAUCGGGGCAGGGUGAGUCGACCCCUAAGGCGAGGCCGAAAGGCGUAGUCGAUGGGAAACAGGUUAAUAUUCCUGUACUUGGUGUUACUGCGAAGGGGGGACGGAGAAGGCUAUGUCAGCCGGGCGACGGUUGUCCCGGUUUAAGCAUGUAGGCGGAGGUUCCAGGUAAAUCCGGUACCUUUUAACGCUGAGGUGUGAUGACGAGGCACUACGGUGCUGAAGUGAUAAAUGCCCUGCUUCCAGGAAAAGCCUCUAAGCAUCAGGUAACACGAAAUCGUACCCCAAACCGACACAGGUGGUCAGGUAGAGAAUACCAAGGCGCUUGAGAGAACUCGGGUGAAGGAACUAGGCAAAAUGGUGCCGUAACUUCGGGAGAAGGCACGCUGAUAUGUAGGUGAAGCCCCUGCGGGCGGAGCUGAAAUCAGUCGAAGAUACCAGCUGGCUGCAACUGUUUAUUAAAAACACAGCACUGUGCAAACACGAAAGUGGACGUAUACGGUGUGACGCCUGCCCGGUGCCGGAAGGUUAAUUGAUGGGGUUAGCGGCAACGCGAAGCUCUUGAUCGAAGCCCCGGUAAACGGCGGCCGUAACUAUAACGGUCCUAAGGUAGCGAAAUUCCUUGUCGGGUAAGUUCCGACCUGCACGAAUGGCGUAAUGAUGGCCAGGCUGUCUCCACCCGAGACUCAGUGAAAUUGAACUCGCUGUGAAGAUGCAGUGUACCCGCGGCAAGACGGAAAGACCCCGUGAACCUUUACUAUAGCUUGACACUGAACACUGGUCCUUGAUGUGUAGGAUAGGUGGGAGGCUUUGAAGCGUGGACGCCAGUCUGCGUGGAGCCGCCCUUGAAAUACCACCCUUUAAUGGCUGGUGUUCUAACGUAGACCCGUGAUCCGGGUUGCGGACAGUGUCUGGUGGGUAGUUUGACUGGGGCGGUCUCCUCCCAAAGAGUAACGGAGGAGCACGAAGGUUGGCUAAUCCUGGUCGGACAUCAGGAGGUUAGUGCAAUGGCAUAAGCCAGCUUGACUGCGAGCGUGACGGCGCGAGCAGGUGCGAAAGCAGGUCAUAGUGAUCCGGUGGUUCUGAAUGGAAGGGCCAUCGCUCAACGGAUAAAAGGUACUCCGGGGAUAACAGGCUGAUACCGCCCAAGAGUUCAUAUCGACGGCGGUGUUUGGCACCUCGAUGUCGGCUCAUCACAUCCUGGGGCUGAAGUAGGUCCCAAGGGUAUGGCUGUUCGCCAUUUAAAGUGGUACGCGAGCUGGGUUUAGAACGUCGUGAGACAGUUCGGUCCCUAUCUGCCGUGGGCGCUGGAGAAUUGAGGGGGGCUGCUCCUAGUACGAGAGGACCGGAGUGGACGCAUCACUGGUGUUCGGGUUGUCAUGCCAAUGGCACUGCCCGGUAGCUAAAUGCGGAAGAGAUAAGUGCUGAAAGCAUCUAAGCACGAAACUUGCCCCGAGAUGAGUUCUCCCUGAGACUUUAAGUCUCCUGAAGGAACGUUGAAGACGACGACGUUGAUAGGUCGGGUGUGUAAGCGCAGCGAUGCGUUGAGCUAACCGAUACUAAUGAACCGUGAGGCUUAACCUUACAACGCCGAAGGUGUUU